CCAGAGGCUCGCAGGCUCGGGCGUUUCUCCUGCUCCUUUCUCUGAGAAAGCGGCGUGUUGGAAGGGCGCAAGGAGCGGGACCCCAGAAGAAGAGUGACCUCGGGAAGUAUCAAGCAUUUGCCCAUGAGCAGUGUCUGUGGUCUACUGUGACCUUCGGUAGACCUCUUCAUCCACCCGCCCAGCCCAGCCCGGGUGGCUUGACCUUGAAGCCCCAACUGCCCUCGGUUCUCGGAGAAGGACAGACAGAUCGGACAGUCCGCGGGGGUGGAGGAGGGGUGGAGAGGGAAGACACCAGUCCUAAGGUCUGACAACCUUUAAUUUUAUGCAGGUCCUGUCUUCUCACCACACAGCCACAAUUGUAUUCCAUUAAGAUAGGGAACGUUCACCCAGAGAUGAUCCUGUCCUUGCUAAACUAAAGCUUUCCCGCAGCCCAAAUCACGCUGUCCUUUCAAUCACCAGGGUCUCCCCACCGUCAGCCCGCUGGCUCAGGAUGUAUUCUUCAUAUCCAGGACAGCACAUCAUUUUACCUCCUCCCUACCUCUCUCUUUUAACUUCCACGUCCUCCCCUGUCUCUCACCGCUGGGUUUAGACCCUCUUUUCCUCCAUCCCCUCCCUUCUUUCUCUCUUUCUUUGCCUGCUACCACUGUCAUCCCCUGUAAGCCUGUCUCCUGCAGCCACUACUUUCUGUUACCUAUUCUCAUGAUGCACUUAAGAAUAAAGCCUGUCCUGUGUCGCUCCAGGAGAUCCCCGAUGAUGAUCAUAAUUGACGAAACUUAGCUAUUGUGACAUUCCUCAGCUGUGCUGACACCACUGUUUCCCUUGAGAAAAUUUCUUUUCCUAUUUUCACAUUCCCUGAACCUAAUUUCACUGCUAAAUUUAGACAGCCCACUGCACAAGGACUAGCUAAUUAUCUGUUUAGAUAGCACUUUAACACGUUGUUGAGACUCAGUUAAAUGUUAACAACCAAAAUUUUAAUAUCACUAGCCAAUUUUAUCACCCCAGCCUUUCCCUGAGGGUUCCAGUCUCCAGAAGUAAUUUAGCCAACAUUUUAAAAGGUACCAAAGGCUUACUAUGGGGGCUAUUGUGAAACUGCUAUAGAGCCCAUCAGAAAUAAACAGGUUUAGCAUUUCUUGAAAGAAUGAUCUGGAACUUUUAAAAAUGUAUUUCCUCUCUCUUUGGAAAAAAUUGAAUAAUAGCUUGCUAUGAUUACAUUCCUCACCUAAAUGAAAGCAUGAAAGAGCAGUAUUUAUAGAUGUUAUAUAAGUAUUUAAAGAGCACCAUCCUGGUGUUUUAUGUGCAUAUAUUCAUUAUGUUCGAAUAAUAAUUUGUGUUGGUAUAGUUUCUUCAACUAGAGAUGUCAAAGCAUGUGCUUACUUCCCACAAAAGACAGCACUACUAUUAUCUCUGCUUGACAGCAAGAGGAACCUAGGCACAGAGGUUAAAUUCACCGCAAAUACUGCCAGCCAUAUGCAGUGGUUUUCCUGCUGGAACCAAGUUCUUGCCUUCCAGGAGGUACCACUGACUGAUCCCUCAAGAUUCUUUAUUUUGAGUUAGCAACAAAUUUACUAAGGAAACUCAAAUUUUUACUUUCUAAAUGUGCCCAGUCUCAAAUUACAUUCUCCUGGAUGAAUGAAAUUUAGAUAAAUGUACAUCAAGCUCUUAUGUUGAAAAUUAUUGCUGAGUUAAAAAAUUAUUUUACACAAUAAAAUUCACUUUUUCAAGGGUUGGAACAGCUGGGGUUUUUUAAACCUUUAACGUGAAAGUAUUGCUAGGCUUUAUAUCAUUACUAUUUUUUUUUACAGAUAAGUUCACAUUAUUUGAGUAGCAAAAAGAUAGAAGGAAACAUUAUAGCUAACAGUAUUUUGACACCAUUGAAUACUAAAUUAUGCAUUUUAAAAAAAAUCUGAACAAAAAUCAACAUGAUCCUAAUGAUAACAAUGGUUUCAUUGUUUUGAGUUGCGAGUGAGUACUGGAGAUGUCCAUCCAACUUUCUGCCUCAAAGACUAUUUGCCAAUUAUCAAGAUUCAUUAACUCUGAACUAAAAAACAAAGGUUGUCACUUUCAACAAAAAAGUACUUGCAUACAGUGCUGGGCAUUUUACACUUACUCCAAUAAUCCAAAUUAAAAAUUUGAGACUAUUAUUAGAAUUUCAUCACAUACUGAAAUAUAGGUGGUAUUUAGUAGUACAGGUAGAACAUUAUGCACUUUAGCUAACUCCCCUUACCAUCAGUACAUUUUUUAUAAUUUGCUGUGUAAAGAAACAUAACUCUUCCCUCAUUAGAAGACAUGAAGAUACUUUGUAGAAUGUUCAAGUCGGUACCAUAUUUGAUAAUAAACUGGUGUUACCCACCUAGAAUCACAAAAUUAUACAAAUAGUUAAAGUACAGACCCACAAAAAAACUACCACUUGCAAAAUAUUUGCCAAGGUUACAUUUAACAAAGCAAUUCUUCCCUACUGAAAAGAUUCUCCUCAUACAGUCACACCACUUUCUCCCUCAUAUUUCCUUUAUUUCUUUGCUGAAAUCACUUUAUUACUGAGACCUUUAGGACUAUCCAAAGGAAAGGUCUUUCCUCAUCCCAAAUCCAAUUCCUGAACUUGAUUUAUUUGCUUCAUUGCACUAACCAUCUGACAUAUUAUGUAUUUAUUGUCUUUUCCCCUUCUUAGAAUGAAAGUUCUACAAGGGCAAGCAAAUAUCUGUUUUUCCACUGCUUAAAUCCAAUCUAAAUACUUUGAGUAAUGCCAUAUUGGUCCCAGGCGUGAUGAUCAAAUGCUAACUGUGGUGACAGUAUACUCAAGUGCAUGUCUAAUGGAAAAAAAACUCAAAGAAGUGUAUUUAUUUUUUAAAAUCUUAAGCAUGUGAUUGAUCACAUUGAAUUUUUUAAGCUGAAAGGUGGUUACCCUGGCCAUUGCUUAAGACUUUGAUUUAAUUUCCAUUAGCAUUGCUUUUGAAACUAUAACUUCUAUAUUGCACAUUCAUACUUCUACAUCCCAGCUUUGUAAUAAUAGGGCUAGGAUUCUGCAAAUUACAUGCAUCCUUUACCAUUUGGUUUCCUAAUUGGUUCUAUCAAUAAAAGGCACUAUAGGGUGGAAAGUAG
rnacentral:lncRNA from 1 species